UUAACACAUGCAAGUCGAGGGGCAGCAUUUUAGUUUGCUUGCAAACUGAAGAUGGCGACCGGCGCACGGGGUGAGUAACACGUAUCCAACCUGCCGAUAACUCCGGAAUAGCCUUUCGAAAGAAAGAUUAAUACCGGAUGGCAUACGAAUAUCGCAUGAUAUUUUUAUUAAAGAAUUUCGGUUAUCGAUGGGGAUGCGUUCCAUUAGUUUGUUGGCGGGGUAACGGCCCACCAAGACUACGAUGGAUAGGGGUUCUGAGAGGAAGGUCCCCCACAUUGGAACUGAGACACGGUCCAAACUCCUACGGGAGGCAGCAGUGAGGAAUAUUGGUCAAUGGGCGCGAGCCUGAACCAGCCAAGUAGCGUGAAGGAUGAAGGCUCUAUGGGUCGUAAACUUCUUUUAUAUGGGAAUAAAGUUUUCCACGUGUGGAAUUUUGUAUGUACCAUAUGAAUAAGGAUCGGCUAACUCCGUGCCAGCAGCCGCGGUAAUACGGAGGAUCCGAGCGUUAUCCGGAUUUAUUGGGUUUAAAGGGAGCGUAGGUGGAUUGUUAAGUCAGUUGUGAAAGUUUGCGGCUCAACCGUAAAAUUGCAGUUGAAACUGGCAGUCUUGAGUACAGUAGAGGUGGGCGGAAUUCGUGGUGUAGCGGUGAAAUGCUUAGAUAU
rnacentral:rRNA from 1 species